CCUACGGGUGGCAGCAGUGGGGAAUAUUGCACAAUGGGGGAAACCCUGAUGCAGCAACGCCGCGUGAGUGAAGGAGUAUUUCGGUAUGUAAAGCUCUAUCAGUAGGGAAGAAGAAAGACGGUACCUGACUAAGAAGCCCCGGCUAACUACGUGCCAGCAGCCGCGGUAAUACGGAGGGGGCAAGCGUGAUCCGGAUUUACGGGGUGUAAAGGGAGCGUAGACGGCUGUGCCCGUCGGAAGUGAAAGCCCGUGGCUCAACCGCGGAACUGCUUUGGAAACUGUCUGGCUUGAGUACUGGAGAGGCAGGCGGAAUUCCUCGUGUAGCGGUGCACUGCGUCGAUCUUAGGCG
rnacentral:rRNA from 1 species